UACAGAGGUCCCGAGCGUUGUUCGGAUUCACUGGGCGUAAAGCGCGUUCAGGCGGUUUGGCAAGUCGGGCAUGAAAUCUCUCGGCUCAACCGGGAGAGGUUGUCCGAUACUGCUGGACUUGAGGGCAGUAGAGGGUGGUGGAAUUCCGGGUGUAGUGGUGAAAUGCGUAGAUAUCCGGAGGAACACCAGUGGCGAAAGCGGCCACCUGGACUGCACCUGACGCUGACACGCGAAAGCUAGGGGAGCGAACGGG
rnacentral:rRNA from 1 species